rnacentral:rRNA from 1 species
AGUCGAGGGGUAGAGGAAGCUUGCUUCCUUGAGACCGGCGCACGGGUGCGUAACGCGUAUGCAAUCUACCUUUUACAGAGGGAUAGCCCAGAGAAAUUUGGAUUAAUACCUCAUAGUAUAUAUUAUUCGCAUGUUUGAUAUAUUAAAGUUCCAACGGUAAAAGAUGAGCAUGCGUCCCAUUAGUUAGUUGGUAAGGUAACGGCUUACCAAGACGAUGAUGGGUAGGGGUCCUGAGAGGGAGAUCCCCCACACUGGUACUGAGACACGGACCAGACUCCUACGGGAGGCAGCAGUGAGGAAUAUUGGUCAAUGGACGCAAGUCUGAACCGGCCAUGCCGCGUGCAGGAAGACGGUCCUAUGGAUUGUAAACUGCUUUUGUACGGGAAGAAACCCUCCGACGAGUCGGAGCUUGACGGUACCGUAAGAGUAAGCAUCGGCUAACUCCGUGCCAGCAGCCGCGGUAAUACGGAGGAUGCGAGCGUUAUCCGGAAUCAUUGGGUUUAAAGGGUCCGUAGGCGGUUUAAUAAGUCAGUGGUGAAAUCUGGUCGCUCAACGAUCAAACUGCCAUUGAUACUGUUAGACUUGAAUUACUGUGAAGUAACUAGAAUAUGUAGUGUAGCGGUGAAAUGCUUAGAUAUUACAUGGAAUACCAAUUGCGAAGGCAGGUUACUAACAGUUGAUUGACGCUGAUGGACGAAAGCGUGGGGAGCGAACAGGAUUAGAUACCCUGGUAGUCCACGCCGUAAACGAUGGAUACUAGUUGUUUGGAUUUAUCUGAGUGACUAAGCGAAAGUGAUAAGUAUCCCACCUGGGGAGUACGAACGCAAGUUUGAAACUCAAAGGAAUUGACGGGGGCCCGCACAAGCGGUAGAGCAUGUGGUUUAAUUCGAUGAUACGCGAGGAACCUUACCAAGGCUUAAAUGGGAGACGACGUAUUUGGAAACAGAUAUUUCUUCGGACGUCUUUCAAGGUGCUGCAUG